GGAUCUCUGUGGCGAUCUUCAGCUGAGUUCUUCUCUUUCCAGAGACCUUCUUGGCAGGCGCUGAUGUUGGGAGAGGUCUUUUGCCUGCAAAUUUAGUUUGUUUUAUGAAUGGGGAGAAUGUGGU